rnacentral:rRNA from 1 species
UACAGAGGGGGCAAGCGUUUUUCGGAAUUACUGGGCGUAAAGGGCGCGUAGGCGGCCUUCUAAGUCGAACGUGAAAUCCCCGGGCUCCACCCGGGAACUGCGUCCGAGACUGGAAGGCUCGAAUCCGGGAGAGGGAUGUGGAAUUCCAGGUGUAGCGGUGAAAUGCGUAGAUAUCUGGAGGAACAUCGGUGGCGAAGGCGGCAUCCUGGACCGGUAUUGACGCUGAGGCGCGAAAGCCAGGGGAGCAAACGGG